CAUGUAAGGACACACCAGGCAUUCUCUG
rnacentral:piRNA from 1 species